CCUGACUGUAUUGAUUCCCUGGUGCCAAAUGCAUCAUACCUGCAGAGCCAGCUGAUCCUAUUUCCUUUCUGGAAGAAGACCUGAAUUAAUCGGCUAACUUUAAUGACACGUUGGAAACCCACAGACCUUGUGGUUCCCUGCCUGGCAGUGCAGUGACUUCUGGGAUUCUGUAAGAUAUGGAGAAAGAGAUGUGUGCUAUAGUUCAAGAAAGUCAGAUCCCACCUUCAACUGGAACAAAUAGUAAAGCAUUAUAAGUCUACAAUGAAAAGUAGCUCAGCUGUUGAUGUGUUCACAUUACUGACCAUCCAUCCAUCGUCAACAGCCGCUUGACCUGAGCGGGGUUGUGGGGAGCCGGAGCCCAACCCGGCAACGCAGGGCGCAACGCUGGGGGGGAGGGGACACACCCAGGACGGGACACCAGUCCGUUGCAGGGCACCCCGGGCAGGGCCGAACCCCAGACCUGCCACACAGCAGGCACCAGCCAAACAUGUCGUCUCACCAUGACACCCCCCAUAUUACAGACCGUCUUGUAGAUUUUCAUAAGCAGAAACGCCGCUCUGAGGGACCCCAUUCGGCCACAGCUCAGCUGAGGGGGAAUAAGACGCUGAUUUGAAACAUGAAUUCAGACCGAUGCCGCUGGUAAAUUAUGCAUCCAAGCAGAAGUUCCAAAAGGAAAUGGAGCCGGUGUGAGUGAGAGAGAGCACUUUAUGAAUUCAGCAAUGCCAGCACCUUUUGGAGACGGGAGAGUGCGUUGACUCUGGAUACUGAGAUUUUCAGCAGGCUGCCUACAACAAUCCAUUCAGAUCAGAUGGCCCUGUUGAAAUAUUUAAAACAUAAGGACAAGCCUUCAUCAGAUAGCUGCUGGUCAGUUGUUUCUUAUUGUGGGAAAUUUUAAGCUUAUUUUGCAGAUGUGUUUGUAAAAAUGCGGCAUGCAUGUCAAGUAACUUUGUUCUUAGCAAAAUAUUUAAAAUGUAUUAUUGGAUUUGCACCACAACACAUAAAUGAUAAAAUUUG
rnacentral:lncRNA from 1 species